rnacentral:rRNA from 1 species
AGAGGGUGCGAGCGUUAAUCGGAAUUACUGGGCGUAAAGCGUGCGUAGACGGUUAUUUAAGUCGGGUGUGAAAGCCCCGGGCUCAACCUGGGAAUUGCAUUCGAGACUGAAUAGCUUGGGUACGGUAGAGGGAAGUGGAAUUUCCGGUGUAGCGGUGAAAUGCGUAGAUAUCGGAAGGAACAUCAGUGGCGAAAGCGACUUCCUGGACCAGUACCGACGUUCAGGCACGAAAGCGUGGGGAGCAAACAGGAUUAGAUACCCUGGUAGUCCACGCCAUAAACGAUGAGGACUAGACGUUGGAGGGGUAAGCCUUUCAGUGUCGUAGCUAACGCGCUAAGUCCUCCGCCUGGGGAGUACGGCCGCAAGGUUG